UACGUAGGGGGCAAGCGUUGUCCGGAAUUAUUGGGCGUAAAGCGCGUGUAGGCGGUCCGCUAAGUCGGCUGUGAAAGUCCAGGGCUCAACUGGGGAGGGUCACGCGAUACUGCUCGACUCGAAGGCAGGAGAGGGAAGUGGAAUUCCCGGUGUAGUGGUGAAAUGCGCAGAUAUCGGGAGGAACACCGGUGGCGAAGGCGGUUCUCUGGGCCUUACCUGACGCUGAGGAGCGAAAGCGUGGGGAGCGAACAGG
rnacentral:rRNA from 1 species